UAGGGAAUUUUCGUCAAUGGGCGCAAGCCUGAACGAGCAAUGCCGCGUGAGUGAGGAAGGUCUUCGGACUGUAAAGCUCUGUUGGACCGGGGAAAAAGGGGAGAUGCAGGAAAUGGCAUUUCAUGGAUGGUACCCCGGCCAGAAAGCCACGGCUAACUACGUGCC
rnacentral:rRNA from 1 species